rnacentral:rRNA from 1 species
CUACGGGGGGCAGCAGUGGGGAAUAUUGCACAAUGGGCGCAAGCCUGAUGCAGCCAUGCCGCGUGUGUGAAGAAGGCCUUCGGGUUGUAAAGCACUUUCAGCGGGGAGGAAGGCGGUGAGGUUAAUAACCUCAUCGAUUGACGUUACCCGCAGAAGAAGCACCGGCUAACUCCGUGCCAGCAGCCGCGGUAAUACGGAGGGUGCAAGCGUUAAUCGGAAUUACUGGGCGUAAAGCGCACGCAGGCGGUCUGUCAAGUCGGAUGUGAAAUCCCCGGGCUCAACCUGGGAACUGCAUUCGAAACUGGCAGGCUAGAGUCUUGUAGAGGGGUGUAGAAUUCCAGGUGUAGCGGUGAAAUGCGUAGAGAUCUGGAGGAAUACCGGUGGCGAAGGCGGCCCCCUGGACAAAGACUGACGCUCAGGUGCGAAAGCGUGGGGAGCAAACAGGAUUAGAUACCCGAGUAGUC